GCGGUUGUGAUGAAAUUGGUAACCAUGUACGCUUGAGGGGCGUAUGGCUUUAGGCCUUACGAGUUCGAGUCUCGUCAUCCGCA
rnacentral:tRNA from 1 species